rnacentral:tRNA from 1 species
GCCCAGGUGGCGGAAUUGGUAGACGCGCACGUUUGAGGGGCGUGUGGAGUGAUCCGUGCUGGUUCGAUUCCAGUCCUGGGCA